UACGUAGGGUGCAAGCGUUUAAUCGGAAUUACUGGGCGUAAAGCGCACGUAGGCGGCGCGGCAAGUCAGGGGUGAAAUCCCGGGGCUCAACCCCGGAACUGCCCUUGAAACUGCAGUGCUAGAAUCUUGGAGAGGCGAGUGGAAUUCCGAGUGUAGAGGUGAAAUUCGUAGAUAUUCGGAAGAACACCAGUGGCGAAGGCGGCUCACUGGCCCGAUACUGACGCUGAGGCACGAAAGCGUGGGGAGCAAACAGG
rnacentral:rRNA from 1 species